rnacentral:rRNA from 1 species
UAAAGAUACUAAUGCAUAUGGUGGAUGCCUUGGGUCUUCAUGCCGAUGAAGGAGGUGCUAAGCUGCCAAAAGCCUCGAGGAGUUGCUACGAAACGUUAUUACUCGGGGACUUCCGAAUGGGGAAACCCAGCCCGCUGAUAAAGCGAGGUUACUAAUUACUGAAGGCCACGCAAGUGGUUAUAGGUAAUUUAGAGGGAACUCGGCGAACUGAAACAACUUAGUAGCCGGAGGAAAAGAAACCAAAUUUAGGUAUUCUCCUAGUAGCGGCGAGCGAACGGGGAACAGCCCAAACCCAUUUUGUUCUUAGAAAAGACUACUGGCUUAGGCCGGCAGUCUGAAUCUUCGAACAAAUAUAUUGGGGGUAUAGACAGCCCUAAUGUUUGAUCAUAAAAGAGUUAUAGAAAAUUUUUCCGUAGAAGAAGCUAUCUGGAAAGUUAUGCCAUAGAGGGUAACAGCCCCGUAUUCGAAACGGAAGAAUCUCUUGGGUUGAUCUUGAGUAGCACGGGACACGUGUAACCCUGUGUGAAUAAACGACGGCCACGUCGUAAGGCUAAAUACAUGAAGACACCGAUAGCGCAUAGUACCGUGAGGGAAAGGUGAAAAGAACCCCUGUUAGGGGAGUGAAAUAGAUACUGAAACCGUAUGCAGACAAGCUGGCAAAGCCCGUAAGGGUGAUGCCGUGCCUAUUGAAGAAUGAGCCAGCGAGUUAAUACGUUUGGGCAAGCUUAAGCCGUACCAGCGGCGGAGGCGUAGGGAAACCGAGUCUUAAUAGGGCGCCCAGUCCAUUGUAUUAGACCCGAAGCCAGGUGAGCUAACCAUGGCCAGGAUGAAACCCUGCGAAAUCAGGGUGAAGGUCCGAACCGUUGUAUGAGGAAAAAUGCUCGGAUGAGCUGUGGUUAGGGGUGAAACGCUAAACGAACUUGGCAAUAGCUGGUUCUCCCCGAAAUAUAUUUAGGUAUAGCCCUUGUUAUAUAACUUUGCGAGGUAGAGAUACUGAAAGGGGAUGGGGCGCGCAAGUGUACCCACUCCUACCAAACUCCGAAUGCGCAAAGUGUUCCAAGGAGUCAGUGCUGCGGGGAAAUCUCGUGGCACGAGAGGGAAACAACCCGGACCAUCAGCUAAGGUCCCUAAAUUAUGCUUAGUGGGCAAGGAAGUGAGAUCGUUAAGACAGCUAGGAGGUUGGCUUAGAAGCAGCCACCCUUUAAAGAUAGCGUAACAGCUCACUAGUUGAACGAUUUCGCGCCGACGAUUUAACGGGGCUCAAGCAUAAUACCGAAGCUAUGGAUUUACCGUUUUUAACGAUAAGUGGUAGGGGAGCAUUGAUGCAGCUGUGAAGGUGUACCCGCGAGGGAUGCUGGAGCGGCAUCAAGUGAGAAUGCUGGCAUGAGUAACGAGAGGGUGGUGAAAACCCACCCCGCCGAAAACCCAAGGGUUCCUCCGCUAUGUCAGUCAUCGGAGGGUUAGCCGACCCUAAGGAGAGGCCGAAAGGCGUAUCCGAUGGAUAGCAGGUUAAUAUUCCUGCGCUUCUGUAAGAACGUUAUCACCGAAGGGAGGACGGAGCAUGAUGAACCAAGCUCAUUAAGGAUUUGAGUCCCAAAAGUAAGACAGUUCGUGUAGGCAAAUCCGCACGGGCGCUACGUUGAGCUUAGGGAAAGUCUGCCGCAAGGCGGAUGAUUUGGUGUCACGCAAGCUUCCAAGAAAAUUCUCUAGGGAGAUCUUACAGAAUUCGUACCGUAAACCGACACAGGUAGGUGAGUAGAGAAUACUAAGGCGAACGAGCGAAUCGUGGUUGAGGAACUAGGCAAAUUACAUCCGUAACUUCGGGAAAAGGAUGCCCUGCCACGAGCCCGCGCAAGCGGGAAGUAGGUAGGGGGCACAAAAAUGGCUCAAGCGGCUGUUUAACAAAAACACAGGUCUCUGCUAAACCAGUAAUGGGAUGUAUAGGGGCCGACGCCUGCCCAGUGCCCGUAGGUCAAGACCGGGGGUGAUUUCCAACUUAGGUUGGAAUGAGCUUUUGGUUUAAGCCCGGGUGAACGGCAGCAGUAACUAUAACUGUUCUAUGGUGAAUUUACGCGCCGCCAUAGCGGGUAGCAUUAGCUACCCCGUUUGGAAGUGCCCAAACGCAACUUGACUAUAUGCUGGAAACUCCGUCCGUGCCUUAUUAAUGAGGAUUAAUGAGGACGCGGUGUAUCUAAUUUAAUUAGAUAAAAGUAUCUUGGUCUACUAAACAUAUUCGUAUAAUAUUCGGGUAUGGAUAGUGAAAAUGAUUCAAGUGCGGACAAUCAGCAGGAAAGACUAAGAAUUGAAGGGUGGUUAGUUGGUUUUACAGAUGGGGAAGGUGCAUUCACAGUUAGCAUCUUAAAAAAUCCAACCAGUAAAACCGGCUGGCAGGUGUUUCCUGAAUUUAUUAUUACUCAGGGAGCACGUAGCAAGGAUGUUCUGUAUUUGUUUAAGGAUUUCUUCGGUUGUGGAAGUGUCUAUCUUAAUAGAAGACAUGACAACCAUCAUGAAGAUCUUUACAGAUAUUGUGUUAGGUCUAUUCGUGAUUUGCAAAACGUAAUAAUUCCGUUUUUUACUCAAACUUCUUUGAGGUCUGACAAGAAAAAGGAUUUUGCACUGUUUUGCGAGGUAAUGGAUAAGAUCAAAAACAAAGAACACCUUGAUGUAUCGGGUUUAUAUAAAAUUGCCAACUUGGCAAUGAAAAUGAACCGAAAGAUACGCCCAAAAUUUUUAGAAUCCCCACACACUAUACGUCAGGCUUCUGGUAACCCAGAAGAAGAGAUAGUGGCGUCUGCAUGGCGACAUGCAGGGAUCGAUUCAAAAGGGAAGAACGAUCCAAAACUCGCAGAAAUGUGAGCGAAGAAUACAAGCGUAAUCCCUUGUCGGGUAAGUUCCGACCCGCACGAAAGGCGUAACGACUUGAGCACUCUCUUAAUCACGAGCUCGGUGAAAUUGAACUA